rnacentral:SRP_RNA from 1 species
UCGCGCUAGGCGGGGAGCUAGCGGUUCCCUGAACCCGCAAGCCGCUCUAGCGGGGCUGAAUUCCCUCCCGAGGGGGACGUCUCCGAGGUAGGGCUGACGCUUGCGAGCGUUGACGGUCAGGUCCCGCGCACUGAGAGCCUGCGAACCGCGUCAGGUCCGGGAGGAAGCAGCGCUAAGCGGAGCUUCUCAGGUGCCGCGGCCAAGCCUGGCUCGAGCGAGCAGCGAAGGCACCGCCCCGGAAGCACUCUCGACGGCGGGUGCGCGG